rnacentral:tRNA from 1 species
GUCAAUAUAGUUUUAAACCAAACAUUAGAUUGUGAAUCUAAGAAUAGAAGCU